GAUGGAAAGUAUAGGGAUGUUGGAUUGAGAAGCUAUACGUGUUUAAAGAAAUACAAAGAAUGUAGGCCGUAGGCCAAUAUUUAAUAUGUGCAACUUAAAAUAUAAAGAAUAUACAGUUGAAUGGGGGACAUGGAAAUGAAUCAAUGUUACAAGUUAGGGGAUCGUAAGGAAUAGCCUUUUUCUCGACACCAGCUACAAGCUCUCUAAACUGGCCCAUUCAGGUCUCCUCUUUUCGAAGAGGAUGAAGUGCUUGUAUAGGCUGCUUUUCAGUAGAAAACUUCUAUUCCUUUGAGUGUGUCAGCGCUGACUCUGGCCCUGUGAAGUCACAUCACUCUAACUACCAUUCUUGUCUUCUAGUGAGCUUUUCUUGCGUGAUGUCGUGGUUCCUCGUUUGGAGUUGUUAAUCACCAAGCAAGUUUCCAUCGUGUAGCGUUUGCGCGAGAUGUGCUCUAUGAUUUCCUCAUUUCUUCUUUUCCACUUAUCUUGCAUUUAAACAUGAUAAUCGCAUAAAACAAACAUGAUACUUAUAUAAGUUAUAUUUCUAAAUAUUUAUGAAUUUACAAAGUGAGCCACACUCAUUGAUCCUCUUCUUAUGCGUUUUGACCUCGUUAUUCCAAUAAAAGAGGGUAUAAUAACGGGUGUUUAAACACAUUAUCAAAUAGUAGAACUAGGAAGGGUUUCAUUGCGACAAAUUGAAUGUAAUAAAAGAGAAAAAAGAUUUCAAUCUUGAGGAAGUUAAAUUAAAGAAAUUAAAAAUGAUAUUUCUUUCAAUUAUGAAAAUAGGGAAUUGGGUGAUCCACUGUGAUUCUAAUCAUUGAAACAUAAAUACCAAUGCAAUCAAAUUGAACCUUGAUCAAUUAGUCUUUUUAGGACUAAUCGCCAUAAUUUAAUGAAUAAAGUGAAAGAACAAGAUUCAUACUAACUAUUGCAAUAAUAUUCAUCUUAGUAGUUUCAAUAAAAUUACAAUGAGUUGCAUAAGGCACAAGAAUUUUGAAUCAAAACUUUUCAAAGCAGGAUAGCCACUAUCUUCAAAAAGAUUAAUGAGGCUUAUUUUAAUUGAACAAUCAAGAAUAAAUUCAAUAGGAUUCAAGACAAAGCUAAAGAAUUCAAUUCAAGAUUAAUAACGUUCAUGCUUUAAUAGUGAGUUUAGCACUUCUAGAUAUUGCGAGUAAACCAUAAAAUUAUUGGGUGAUUAAGCAAAUACAUAAAGUGUUUUUUUAUUGGAAAACAAGAAAGGAAAAAAGCUCCAAGAUCAAUUUGAUAUGCAAAAUUAAAUAAGUAAUCUCAUAGAAUUAAAGCAUAAUCACCCAGUUCGCAAGAAUUACCUUUACCCAUCAAGUAAUUUGGAGAAGCAAAAGAGAAUUGGUGGAGAAAUUGACUCAUUCUUGCAACAAAAAAUGAAGAGAUUUUAUCGAGUAGCUAAGAAAGAUUACACUAAUUUGAAGAGUAAUUUUGCUUACUGUGAGGCCGUGAUAUGAAAAAAAGGAGUCCUGUGUGAGGCCUUUUGCGAGGAAGGAUGCGAGAAAAGAAGAGGCGACAUGAAGGAA
rnacentral:lncRNA from 1 species